CUGGAAAUACUAAAAAUGGCGUAUGUCUAGGGGGGUGACUGCUUCUGUUUACGGUACUUGCUGAGUGACGAAUCAUGACGAACAGAGCUUACGCUAAAAACAAUGGAGAUGGACUUCUGUGUAGUAUUCUGUGCCGAGGUUGAGAAACUUGCUGAAAUGAGCUAACCGCCUCGCGUGGCGGCCAGCUCAACUAGCAUUUUCACCGCACCCGUUGGGAAAACUACUCAACAACAACAUGCAUUUUCCUACAUUUUGUUCAACGUCACAUGAAGAAUCUAUUUUCUCAUUGGGCCGGUAAUUGAUUCAAGCGGCCUAACACUCAUAGGCGUACGGGAAGGACAAAAUUAAGGGGGCGGAAAGAAAUUUGCCCGACUUUUUCGGAUUGUGCCCGAGUUGUCAAAAAAAAAUUUCCGGAGAAACUUUCCGAAAUUGUUGUGGACGGGGGGGGGGGAAGUAGUGAUUACGAAAAAUUCCUAUUAGAUAGUGUAUUUCCCACAAAAUUGACAGAAUUUGUCCCAUUUAUUUUUAUAAUAAGCCAAUAUUGCCCGACUGUGAAGCGAAUAUUGCCCGACUGGCUUUGUUUGCCCAACAAACUUGGGGGGGGGGGGGGGGGGGCAUGUGAACUCGAAAAGUGCCUACGAUUUUCAUUUAGCGUGUCUUGCGAAACUGAAAUAUUUGUACGGGAAUUCACUUGUCUAUAACACUUCGAACACGCUGAGUUCAAAUCCGAAAAGUUCCCGCUCCGUAGACCCACAGUUUUCCCACAAACUAUUCACUAUUAAUUUCAUAUGACAAAUUUUAUCAUUGUUCAACGACGCGGAUCGAUAGAA